rnacentral:misc_RNA from 1 species
UGCAAUGUCAAAAAUUAUCACUCUCGCCCUCGUUUCAAAUUUGAUACCAGGAUCUUUGAUGAGAGAAACUGGCUGCAUUAGCACCUGCACUUAUAAGUAUUAAUUACCUGAUUUUUAUCUUUUAUUCAUCAUGGUUCACUGCCAAAGAAAGAACUUAGUUGAUAACACAAUAUCUUAAACAAAAAUGUACCUGAUAAGUAGUUGGUUUUGCUCUAUUGUCAAAAUAGCAAUAAGUGAUUGGAACAAUGACUAGAACCUAAUAGACAGCUUACAUCUUUAGAUACCAACUCAUCAAGGUUUUUUUUUUAAGCAUAAAAAUUGGAAAUGAUUCGACUAUUUUUUUUUUUUCUUUAUAUCAAUAUGUUUCCAAAAGAGUUGCCUGAGAACAAGUGCAGAUUGUUCUUGUUAUUUGUUAUAUUGAUAACCAUAUAUCCUUUCUUUUCCUUGCAAUAUAUAGGGCUGUUCAACAAUUCUGGAAUCAGGAAUCUGACGUCAUAGAUAGUUUCUUUCACUGGAAAAGAGAACUUGAAUUUACAGUAAUGUAAAAUUCGCGUGCAUUUAAAAGUAAGCAACUAGCGUCUAGAGGUAAUAAACGUUGACCCACCUAAAAACUCAAGCCCAACCUGUCCAAAAGAUUGGGUUAAAGCCUCAUCCUAACUCACUGUAAUGCUUUUAAAUUUUGUUCUCUUAUGCUCCUUUUCCUCAUUUAAUUUCUCGAAUUCACAAACUACCAAAUGAAAAUUUGAAAAGACAAACAACGUAUCACAAAAUCUUUACCAGUAAUCAUCCAUUGACUAACAUCAACGUGGAUGUAUAUGACAUGAAUGUAUAUAUGCAGUAGCAGCAGCAUAUAUAGACAUCGUAUAACCCUGCUAAGACGCUGCUUCCAUCUAGUAUUAAAAUGGUGUACCAUAAUUAUUAACCAUUGUGAAUUAUAAGAGAUACGAGACCAAAAAAAUAAAAAUAGAAUUGUAUUCAGCCUCAACUUUCUUUUUUUAAGUUCAGCACUUAAAUUACCACUUGUUUCUUCACUUUCAAAGCUUCGGUUUCCAUGUGCAUUUCCAAAGCUCUGAUUUCCAUGUGGAGGCAAUAGUGCAGCAGGUGAUGUAAUCAAUUCUUCUUGAAAUCCAUGGGCUCUU